GUCUGACACGGUCCGACGGUGGCCAGUCUGGCCCCGACGUUUGGCCGCGGCGCGAUGAC
rfam:Thiobacillus sp. SCN 65-179 ABT21_C0004, whole genome shotgun sequence.